AUGGUAUUGCAGCUUCCCACUGGGGUUGACAGAGCUGGUGCUCAGGUAAUCAACAUUUUGCUGAGCCUACGAGGAAGCAUUUGGGACAACUUCACAAUGCAUAUUGGUGCUUCUUCUUCCUGCUGCCUUGUGAAGAAGGUGCCUGGCUUGCCCUUCACUUUCUGCCAUGAUCAUAAGUUUCUUGAGGCCUCCUCAGCUAUGCUGAACUGGACAUGGAUGAAUCUGGAGAACAUUAUUCUCAGCAAACUGACACAAGAACAGAAAAUGAAACACCGCAUAUUCUCACUCAUAGGCGGGUGAUGAAAAAUGAGAACACAUGGACACAGAGAGGGGAGUACUAAACACUGGGGUCUAUUGGGGGGAAAAGGGGAGGGCCAGUGGGAGGGGGAGGUGGGGAGGGAUAGCCUGGGGAGAAAUGCCAAAUGUGGGUGAAGGGGAGCAAGCAAACAAAACACACUGCCAUGUGUGUACCUAUGCAACUGUAUUGCAUGCUCUGCACAUGUACCCCAAAACCUAAAAUGCAAUAAAUAAAAACAUAAAAAAAAAUUCAACAUAAUUUAAAUUCAAUUUAAAUUUUGUCU
rnacentral:lncRNA from 1 species